GUGCUUACUUUGGCAGCAUGUAUACUAAAAUUGUAAUGAUAUGGAGAAAGUUAGCAUGGGCCCUGUAUAAAGAUGACACACUAAUUUGUGAAGCGUUCUACAUUAAA
rfam:Pteropus alecto contig88877, whole genome shotgun sequence.